UCUCUCUUUCUCUCUCUCUCUCUCUCUCUCUCUUCCUCUCUGUGCAAAUAUUUAAAAUAAAUCUCUAAAAAUUAUUUAUUUAUAUGAAGCAGAGAAUUACAGACAGAAAAUGAGAGAGAGAGAAAGAUCUUCCAUCCACUGGAUGACUCUGCCAAUGAUAGUAAUGAAUGGGACUGUCGGGCAUAACCUGGAGCCAAGAGUUUCUUCUGGGUCUCUCACAUGUGUGCAGGGGCCCAGGCAGACUGACAGAGAGAGAGAGACACAGAGCAGGAGAUGAGCCAAACUGGUCCUUCCUGGGGUUGGCAAGGACCUGAUUACUCAGGCUGUCUUCCUCUACCAUCCCAGGCACUCUAGCAGGGAGCUGCAUGAGAAUCAGAGCAGGUAGCAUGGGGAUCCUGGCUAGCAGGGCGCAUACCCAGGAUGGGAGUGCAGGCUGAACACCCUGAGCCUUGUGGCUAGCCAGCUCCCAGCUUUUUAUGUCUGUUAAUGAGUUAGCGAGUUACUUCAUUAAUUAUACGCAAUGUGUGACUUCUAGUGAAGCUUUCCCAUGAUAUUGAGGGGAGCGGAUAUGGCUGGGAUUUGGGCACUGACAUACCAGAUAGAGACAUCCUCUGUUCCAUGCUUUAGCUCUGUGUGUGUUGAUGUGUGCCUUUCAAAUCAGCAAUGAUAUACAUUUUAUUUUAAAUUUUGACUGUUAUAGUUGCUUAUUUUUGGAUUCGUACAUUUAUUUGUAAUUCAGGAUUAUGGAGGGCCAGAGGUCGCAAACUGAGAAGGAAAGACAGACAGAGAGAGAGAGAGAGAGAGAGAGAGAGAAUGUUCUUUGUGCCAGGGCACUCCCCAGAUGGCUGCAGUAGCCUCACUGGGCCAAACUGAAGCCAGGAUCCUACAGAGGCUUCCGGGUAACCCAGGAGUUGGAGGGCUGGAGUCCGCGUGGACCAAGAAAUCUGCCUCUGCUUUCCCAGGCAGGUAAUCUGGGAGUUGGAUGAAAAUUGGAGCAGCCAGGACUUGAACCCAUGCAUAUUUGGGAUGCCUGGCCACAACAUGGCCUGCUGCUUACCCUGCUUGGCCACAGCUCUGCACCGCCCCCCGAAGCGGGACUGAGGAACGGGUGGCUGGGGGUGGACAUGGGGACUGGCGGGUGUGACACUCCCUGUGAUGCUCACACCCCACGUGGGAGGGCCUGGCGUCCAGUGCAGGCUCUGCUCCAGUUCUGACUCCUCCCAGACACACUGUGGGAGGCAGCAGGUGAAGGACAGGGGAACUCAGUCCCUACCGUCCACGUGGGAGAGCCAGGAUCAGAGAGCCCACACAGAGAGAGAAAGGACACAUCUCAUCCCAAGUUUGCCAGCACUCACUCUCAUUUUCCAGUCCAUCUGUAGCUGUCCAUGAGACGCUGCCACAGAACCUGGUGACCUGGAUUCAGAUCUGGGGCCUGGCUUCCUCCUGCCCAGUAGAGUGACGCAGACAGAAGCAGAGACAGAGAGAGACAGAGACCGCUCAUCUGCCGGCUCACUCCUGAAAGCAUCUCAGAGGCUGAGUGGUGCCCCAGUGGGAAACCAGGAGACGGGAGUGACCUGGGUCUCUCCCACGAGAGUGGUGUAGAAGCCAGUACUGCGACCGCCUUCCUCUGCCUUCCCAGGCACAAUUUAAGGAGAUGCACAGAACCGAAUCAGCUGGGACCCAUCCUGCCUCAGAUACGGAUUUCGGGAGUUGCAAGCUGCGUAAUCGCUUUCUGCCAAGUUUGCCACUAUUCUCCUGGCUUCAGCAGGUGACAAACAUAUUGGUUGAUUGAUUACUAUAGGUGUUAAUAUUUCACGUCACCAUAACAGGAACAGCAAUGCGUAUUGUAGGCUUUUAGGGACCAAGCCAGCUGAUGAGAGUUCCCUUUUCUCUCCCUCUUCCUUGCAGUCUCAGUGUAUCUGUAGCUCUCUAUGUGUGCCCUUCCAACACAGAUCAUUUUGUUAAGAUUUUAUUUAUUUAUUUAAGAGGUAGAGUUACAGAGUGAGAGGGAGGGACAGAGAGAAAGGCCUUCCAUCUGCUGGUUCACUCCCCAAAAGCCAAAGAGCCAGGAGCUUCUUCCAGAUGUCCCACGCAGGCAGGACCCACCAGGAAGAAGGACGGGGCGACACGGGCGAUCAUUUCGAUCCUCGAAGAUCAAGUUGUGCGAUAUGCAUUUGUGGAAAUAGGUUGGACAUUUCUUGUGGUGGCACGUCCCCCUUUUCAGAGCCUGGGGAGGUGUCCAGGCACCAGUAGCAGUGCCAGCCUGCUGGACAUAUACACUGUGGGAGGUAGCAAGCAAGGACUGAAGCACUUGGGAUCGUGUGACACAGACGCUGGGGUCCUGGAGUCGGCCCCUGGCACCUGGCUUAAACCAGAGCCCGAAUUAGAUGUUUCCGAAG